AACGUUUUUGCCUGUUUUUGCGAAAAAUAAAAUGCGAAAGAAAUGGAAUAUAAAACAAAUAAGCUGGCAACCAGAGAGCAAUUCCUAUGACCUUCACAUCCGGUGACAAUGCACUGCAAGAGGGUCAAUCAGGCUCUGGCAGAGACUUUAAAGUAGUUGCUGUUGACCUGGCCGAAAAGAGUUGAGCGACUUUAUGAUUAGGUGGAAUGACGGUCCCCACAAAAUCCGGUGGCUAUGAAUAGAUGGAAGUUGUUGCAGCUUCUGGUUAGCUUAUCGACUGUAUGCACAUAAAAUGGGAAGGUUCAGUGCACCUGGAAAUGCAAUUUGCUUGGCCCGUUCAAAACACUCGACACUCGUUUCAAGUGGUUCACUGUGACGUCUGCGCCGUCUACUCUUUCUCUAGACGGCGCGUGAAGUCAUCAGCUAACGCCGGAACGACGUCUCUGCCUGAACUUUGCACCUAGUCAAAGUACUCUGAGACAUCACAUAACCGAGCAACUGGCAACUGGAACUGGCAGUGACUGGCAUUUUCAUUUGUCUAGCUUAAAUGCGUUUUAGCUCCGGGUCUGGUGCCCGGCGACAUGCGGUCUCUUCACCACAUUGGACUCUGGCCGAGAGAGCUAUUUAAUUGACCAUAUCGUCUCUUGUCUUUUGUAUGUUUUUUAUGGCCUAGUGAAUGCUUUUGUCUCACAUUAAAAAUUCUCCAGUUUAAAACUGGGUAAAGGGCAUCUCGCUAAUAAACUCGUCCGUUUAAUUA